GGAAGCGUGCCUGAGAAAAGGACUACCUUGAUAAAGUAAAAACAGAGCAUUGAACCUCUCACUUCCU
rnacentral:tRNA from 1 species